CAGCCCUUCUGUCUUUCAUACUUGAAAGAUGAACCAGGCUCUUCACCACUGGGGUUGCUAUCAAGAACGAACGUCUACCAAAAUUGAGCCUUCAGCCUUUCUGCCUUCAAGCAGUAGUGCAUGUACUUUGCAUGCAAAAAGUCCUAAGUUUAAUCCCCAUCAUGUCCAGGACUCAAGCAUUAAGGAAAGAAGACUCUGCCUUCUUCAAAAGCAUUGCAGUGAGUGACCGUGACAUUGUCCUUUAGGGAACGUGUAGAGGUACUUCCCAAUGAUACAUCUGUUCUGAAUUGUAAAAGAAAAAGAAACCCAUCAAUUGUGAAUAUUUUGUAUGAAGUAGCACGUAUAAAGCAUUUUACUAGAUGUUUUUAAGAUGGGUUAAUUAUUUUAGAUCAAGACCCUCUAGAAAGAGUAUGCUGAACAUGCCAGAAUGCCACUUUUACACAUACAAAGACAAGAGAAAGGUUGUGAUCAUUUUGUUUAAAAAAUUUCCUAUGCCUAGUCAUAUUACUCAAACAAAAAAGCAAGAGUACUGGAGUUAAUGCCAUUGCAUGUCGAGACCCCAAGACCACCCCCUCGUUGAUGAAUAAGACACAAGGACACAGAUUUUAGGUUAAUGUUAUUGGGAAAAUUUAGGCCACAACUUUCUUGGUUACAGAAUGUGAGUGGUAUUGGCUUAGGCGUUGGAAUUGACCCAACUAUAUCUGACUCCUGCCUGUCACGCAGGGAGUCCAGUAAGGGUCAACAACCGGUAGGGGCAGCCCCGUCGAUGCAAACCAACUCGAACUCCCCCUGGAUUCCCGGCGGGGUCGUGGCAUGGCCCUAGCCUCGCCCCGGGCUUUGGACAAGAUCCACACCCUCAGAUUCCUUUAACGGAAUACCCUUAAACUUGGAGGGGCAGGUGAUGGCCACACCUCACCUCCCCCAUCAUAAGAUCAACCAGUGCCUAACCACAAAUCCUUACAAAGUUGUGACGACUGCUAUGAGGUAGGUGAAAGUGAAAUGGCCCAUGCCAAUUUGCCAAGUGGAAAAAUUCCUACCAGGCCCCUCAAGGGCGACCAACCGAGGUCCAUAGCAAGGCCAAAUUCGAAACCUGAAAAAUAGGGAAGGCAGGCGGGAGAUCAAGGAAGAGAGUAAAGAGGAAGCUCUCUGGCUCGCACCUCAGUUUAAAUGGGGGCCUGACCACGCCCCCAGCCAGCGGAUUGGCUGGUUGGCGAAUGACGUGACCAGGAACCUCCAGGUGACGCAGGACUUUGUCCCCCACCCCCCGAGGGAAGUGGAUGGCCAUGUGGUCCAGCACAACUCCUCCCCACUGGGAAGUGGAGCGGAUUUGUAGCUUGACUGUGCAGCUUUUAUUUAUCCAAAAUUCUGAGGGGAAAAACCAUAUAGCAACAUUUAGUCUUUUCUUAGGAACAACGUACACACUGCAUAUAAACUUAACAUUUUCUAAGUAAUUUCCCACAUAUGUUUGGGUAUGGCUCUACCCUCAAUCCAGCCUUAAAAACUGGCUAUGCCAGCAAAUGUCACAUAGUUGGAAGUCCUACUGUGGGGAUUAAAGGAUGGUCUUUGUGCAAGAAAAAAGCCUCAUUGCGUAUUUUAAAACAUACCAUAAAAUGUUAAGUACAGUGCCGGAAAGCAACAACACAUUUUUACUCACUGGAAUAUGCUUUGAAAGGCAGUAAGAAAUUAAUUUUCAAACUGUGAGAUUAAAGCCUUGGAACAAGUAGAUAAACUUGCACAAUUU